AUUGAACGCUGGCGGCAGGCCUAACACAUGCAAGUCGAACGAGUGGCGGACGGGUGAGUAAUGUCUGGGAAACUGCCUGAUGGAGGGGGAUAACUACUGGAAACGGUAGCUAAUACCGCAUACCAUCGGAUGUGCCCAGAUGGGAUUAGCUCGUAGGAGGGGUAAAGGCUCACCUAGGCCACGAUCCCUAGCUGGGCUGAGAGGAUGACCAGCCAAACUGGAACUGAGACACGGUCCAGACUCCUACGGUAGUCAGCAGUGGGGAAUAUUGGACAAUGGGCGAAAGCCUGAUGCAGCCAUGCCGCGUGUAUGAAGAAGGCCUUCGGGUUGUAAAGUACUUUCAGAUGGGAGGCGUUACCCGCAGAAGAAGCACCUGCUAACUCCUUGCCAGCAGACGCGGUAAUUC
rnacentral:rRNA from 1 species